rnacentral:rRNA from 1 species
GACGAAGGAUCCAAGCGUUGUCCGGAUUUACUGGGUUUAAAGGGUGCGUAGGCGGAUAAAUAAGUCAGAGGUGAAAGCCUGCAGCUCAACUGUAGAAUUGCCUUUGAAACUGUUUGUCUAGAGUACAUUUGAGGUGGCUGGAAUAUAUCAUGUAGCGGUGAAAUGCUUAGAUAUGAUAUAGAACACCGAUUGCGAAGGCAGGUCACUAAGAUGAAACUGACGCUGAGGCACGAAAGCGUGGGUAGCAAACAGGAUUAGAUACCCUGGUAGUCCACGCUGUAAACUUUGAAUACUCGCUGUUGGCGAUACACAGUCAGCGGCUAAGCGAAAGCGUUAAGUAUUCCACCUGGGGAGUACGACCGCAAGGUUGAA